rnacentral:piRNA from 1 species
UNCACUUAACAGAUACAGGAUGCCUCUU